AGUGAAUCGGGUUCCCCCUAUUUACAUGUAUUAAUGUUGUCUAUAUUUUCAGUGGUUCGAUGUGUACUACCGACAUGUUCGACCAGCUUUUCUUAAAAACUCUGAUGACAUGCAAGAAGAUGAGAGAUUCCUCAUUUCCACAACCGGGAAACCCAUCUACAACCCAUCCAAUGACCUACAAAGGUUUCAUGCCAAAUACAACUUGCCCAACAUCACGAGCCAGGUAGCAAGAAAAGUUUUUGAGACAAAUACCAAAGCCAGCUUCACAGACCAAGAGAUGUCCCUUGUUGCUGACUACUUGGCCUAUACAACUGCUACAACUAAAAAGCAUUACCGCUUGAAACAACAGUCAAUGCCUGCCUGGAAAUGAAGCUGAUCUCCAAAGUUGCCAUGUCCAUUGAAUCUGAUAGUGAGACUGCAGGCCCCUCCGUUGCAAGCACAAGGAAAAAGGAGCAUUGUCCAGCAGCAAAA